UACGUAGGGUGCGAGCGUUAAUCGGAAUUACUGGGCGUAAAGCGUGCGCAGGCGGUUCGUUAAGUCAGAUGUGAAAGCCCCGGGCUCAACCUGGGAAUGGCAUUUGAAACUGGCGGGCUGGAGUGUGGCAGAGGGGGGUGGAAUUCCACGUGUAGCAGUGAAAUGCGUAGAGAUGUGGAGGAACACCGAUGGCGAAGGCAGGUCACUGGGCCGCAACUGACGCUGAGGAGCGAAAGCAUGGGGAGCGAACAGG
rnacentral:rRNA from 1 species